rnacentral:rRNA from 1 species
AUUGAACGCUGGCGGCAGGCCUAACACAUGCAAGUCGAACGAGUGGCGGACGGGUGAGUAAUGUCUGGGAAACUGCAUGAUGGAGAGGGAUAACUACUGGAAACGGUAGCUAAUACCGCAUACCAUCGGAUGUGCCCAGAUGGGAUUAGCUAGUAGGUGGGGUAAUGGCUCACCUAGGCCACGAUCCCUAGCUGGUCUGAGAGGAUGACCAGCCACACUGGAACUGAGACACGGUCCAGACUCCUACGGGGGGCAGCAGUGGGGAAUAUUGCACAAUGGGCGAAAGCCUGAUGCAGCCAUGCCGCGUGUGUGAAGAAGGCCUUCGGGUUGUAAAGUACUUUCAGCGAGGAGGCGUUACCCGCAGAAGAAGCACCGGCUAACUCCGUGCCAGCAGCCGCGGUAAUAC